CAGAAAUUGAAAAUAGAUCUUGGAAGUGAAAGAAACGCAGAGGGGAUGUCACUCUACCUCACUUUCCCCGUGGUAAUGUUCUGGAUCUCCAAUCAGGCUGAGUGGUUCGAGGACUAUGUUGUCCAGCGCAAGAGGGAGCUGUGGCCACGAGAGAAAGAGGGCCAGCGCCAGGAGCUAGAGGAAUUUAAACAGAAGAUCCGGAAGCAGAGGGAAGAAAGACUUCUUCAAGCUGCCCAGCAGAGCUCCUGAGACCUUCAGUUCCUCAAGUUCCAGACACCCCCCCCCCCCAGGAAAUAACACACACUGAACUCUCUGUCGCU
rnacentral:lncRNA from 1 species